UGACGUUUUCUGGACUCCGCCCAAUUUUAUAUUCGUCCCACAACGAGGCCACGCAAAUCGUAGUGAAACAGUUUGUGUACGUACCCAAGCCCAUCUUCAAAUUUUAUUUAUUAUACAAACCUCGUGACUUUAAAUUUCUUUUUGUGACCAGUUUAGCUAACAUUUGAGAAUUAGUGCUAAUGAGUCAAGCAUGUGAGCAAGCUACUGACCUAAAAAUCUUCAGCAAGUCAUUCAUAUAAUGCAUAAUCCAAUAAUUUAAUAGACAUCUCUGACCUAUAACAUUUGGAAUCAACAUUCAAACUCAAUCCUCUUUUCCUCUUCCUUUUACUUUUUUCGAAGCUUGAGUUGGUGAGCUUGGUUAUUUGUCUUCAAUAAAGACCUACCUAAUUGUCCCUCUCUUUACAUUACCAAC